rnacentral:tRNA from 1 species
GCACCUAUGGCCUAAUGGAUAAGGCACUUGACUUCUAAUCAAGCAAUUGUGGGUUCGAGUCCCACUAGGUGUG